rnacentral:rRNA from 1 species
CCUACGGGUGGCAGCAGUCGAGAAUCAUUCACAAUGGGGGAAACCCUGAUGGUGCGACGCCGCGUGGGGGAAUGAAGGUCUUCGGAUUGUAAACCCCUGUCAUGUGGGAGCAAAUUAAAAAGAUAGUACCACAAGAGGAAGAGACGGCUAACUCUGUGCCAGCAGCCGCGGUAAUACAGAGGUCUCAAGCGUUGUUCGGAAUCACUGGGCGUAAAGCGUGCGUAGGCUGUUUCGUAAGUCGUGUGUGAAAGGCGCGGGCUCAACCCGCGGACGGCACAUGAUACUGCGAGACUAGAGUAAUGGAGGGGGAACCGGAAUUCUUGGUGUAGCAGUGAAAUGCGUAGAUAUCGAGAGGAACACCAGUGGCGAAGGCGGGUUACUGGACAUUAACUGACGCUGAGGCACGAAGGCCAGGGGAGCGAAAGGGAUUAGAUACCCUUGUAGUC